GUCUAUGGCCAUCCCACCCUGAAUACACCAGAUCUUGUCUGCUCUCUGGAAGCUAAGCAGGGCCUGGUUAGUACUUGGAUGGGUGAAUGUCACAGAUA
ensembl:rRNA 5S_rRNA 5S ribosomal RNA